GCUGGGCACGGUGGUGCAUGCCUGUAAUCCCAGUGGCUUGGGAGGUUGAGGCAGGAAGAUUGCAAGUGCAAAGCCAGCCUCAGUAACUUAGUGAGGCCCUGUCUCAA
rnacentral:sRNA from 1 species